UUACACCUUAACUGCAGUGCCCAAGUCAUUACUCCAACCUUCGGGAGGAGGAUAGCCUAAUGGCAGGACUGUGACUGGGGUGAAGUCGUAACAAGGUAGCCGUACCGGAAGGUGUGGCUGGAUCACCUCCUUUUUAGGGAGACCUACACCCCUUACAGCUCGAAAAGCAUACAGCUAUAUAGAACGUAAGUUGGUCUUAACCUAGGGUCGGUCGAGAUGUGGUAUAAAACUUUCAAAGUAUUAAUGGUUCAGAAUAUCAAACAAAAUUAAAAAGAUUGUGAGAGUUCAGCAACAUGGCUUAAUUGAAGUCAGACUGCUGAGUUAGUUCUCAGCCAGAACCUUGAAAACUGCAUAGUAACGCGAAAUUAGCAGGCAGACACAGACAUUCCGUAAGGAAGUUGUGAAUGCAAAAAGUAACACCAAAUGUAUUGAGGGUCAAGCUAAUAAGGGCUAAAGGUNUUAAA
rnacentral:misc_RNA from 1 species